CUGAACCUCUUAUGAUUGAUAUCUUAGUAGUUUGCAUGCAAUUAAAAUACUUUUGCUUAGUACUUCCUCUUGUUCUCAUGCUCAGAGGAAGUUUCUUCACUGUCUCAAGGUUUUUUUGACCCAUGGCCAUGAUUUUUAGUAUUAUAAUGAAGGGAGUUUAGCUGAGGCUGCAGGGACCUUGAUUUUUCUUUUUCUUUUUUUUUGUUUUUUAAGUUGCCAACAUCCUGAUUAUUUUUCUCCUUGGAGCUUAUUUACUCUGGGUUGUUCUUAAUUAAAUAUACUAAGUAUUUUAACACAGAUGUAUUACAAGGUGCAAAUUGUUUGUAUUAUUUGUAUUAUUCAAACAUGUUUAGCUAAGUAUUUUAAGUUAUUUUUUAACAGUUCCUUCCCUUGAGACUUCUCUUUUCAGAAAGGUUUGAUUAGUCUCAUUUUUCUGUGUUUAGUUUGUUAGUCUAAUGCAACACUCAGAUACAUACUGCAAUAUAACAUACAGACAGACAAUAGCUGAUAUUACUAGAAAUUCAACUGCAGUGACAUUCCAUACUGCUAGAUAAGAAAAUCAGAAUGUCAGAAAUUUGUAUGUUUCUUCAAAUCCAAGAGAGGUAUCAUCUUUCUGAAUCUCAUGUAAAGUUCUGGUUUGUUGUCAGUAGUACAGUGUAAAGUCCCUUCCAUUUUUUGUGUUGGCAGCUUUUCUUUUCAGGAGGAUACACUGGACCUGCUGACUUAAAUAGAGAUAUGAGUGAGAUCAAAGGCAGAAGAGCUCUCAGUUGGCUGUACCUCUAGGGACAUGCAAGAAUUCUUUGCAAAGAUGCCAGGUAGGUAGCAACAAAGCGAUGUUGAAAAGUCCAGUGGUGGUCAAAAAGACUUCAGGGCUUUGUGGAGAUGGAUAAAAGGAUCAAGAGGGCAGAUAGUGCUCCCUUCUACCCUUCAAGUAGAGGGAAACGGUAUUGGAAGAAACAGAGGCAGCCGGCAAGCCACAGUGCCAGCACCUGGGCCCCUGCCCCCCUUCAGCCGGGACGAUUGUAUCAAAACAAACGUAUUUUAACAUCAGAGCACUUUGUGGGCCAGAGGAGUUGGGCAGCCAAUUAGAGGGAAUCCUGAGAAGGCGGCUGCCAUUAGAAGAGAGGCCAAUCUCCGAGCAGCACGGAAACACGUGGCUGGCAAAGUGUCGCAAAAUGGUGGCUCCCGUCUGUGGAAUUCAAGCUGGAACAAAAUGGCGCCUCCGCCGGCUCAUGAAAUGGCGGCUCCUCACCCUGGGAUGCAGACUGGAACAAAAUGGCGCCUCCCUGUGUAGGUAGGUGGGAGGGAUUUUCUGUCCUGUCCCAUCCUACCGGCGGGCGGGCCCAGUAGCUCUGGGUCCUCCCCUUCACCCGCAGCUCUAUCCCUGCCCUGGCACGCACUCCACCCAGCGCCUCCAGCUUUUAGCCGGGAAGAACGGCAGGCUGGAGGAACCGCUGUUCUGAGCAGCUACAGGCGCCGGCCGUGCUGCCCGGCGGCUCUCCGGCCGAGUGGCCGGAGGUGCUCUGCUGUGCAUCACGCGUAGCUGAGCGAGCCCAAAUCUAGAAUUGGGGGCAUGUGGGAAGAUGCUAGGCAUGGCUUUUGAGGAGUGGUUUUCCGCACCGGCUCGGUUUUUUGCCAAGCCUCCACCCUCUUGAAGCUCCCCCACCGCUGAUGUGCCAGUGUCUUUUCUGCAGACUGGGAAAGGGCAGGUCGCUGACAUGGCCUUGUGCUUACGUUGGACCGUUUCUAUUCCCCCUGAAAGUCAAAUUCUUUAUUUUGUUAGCUGGCAGGAAGGAACGCCCAGCCCAUUUCACAUCUACCCCUUUGAGAAUACAGGCAUACGUUUAACUGCUCGACCUAGCUGCCUGUGUGCCUGUUAUGUGUACUUGUUGCUGCUUAACCUGGCAGAAAACUGAACACCACACAGUCUCCCCAGCUGCGGUGGGGAAAGUAUGGGAAGGAUGAAACUGGGAGCACACACGGGUUUAGGCAAAGACCGUUUACUAGGUAAAAGAAAACCCACGCCUGCAAGCCAAGGGAAACAUUUGCCACUUCUCUUUGAUGGGCAAGCAUCCAGCCACUUCUAGGAUCCCAGGGCCCAGUGCACGUAACAAGCUCUUAUCUCGUUCUGUAUGCAGUGUAGCUGA